GCACUGCUGACGAGUCCUACAAUAGGACGAAACGACACUCCAGUGC
rnacentral:hammerhead_ribozyme from 1 species